AUGUUCUCUGUAGCUCUGCUGCUGCUGGCCGCUGGAUGUGUCAAGUGUGAACAGCUGACUCAGCCGGCCUCUGUGACUGUGCAGCCAGGUCAUCGUCUGACCAUCAGCUGUCAGGUCUCUUAUUCUCUCGCCAGCUACUACACAGCUUGGAUCAGACAACCAGCAGGGAAAGGACCGGAAUGGAUCGGGAUGAAAGUUACUGGAGCUUCUUACUACAAAGACUCACUGAAAACCAAGUUCAGUAUUGACUUGGGCGCUUCCAGUAAAACAGUGACUCUGAAUGGACAGAACAUGCAGCCUGAAGACUCUGCUGUGUAUUUCUGUGCCAGAAGAGACACAGUUAGAGACAUAAGCAGGAAACUCGUGUGUACAGUAUUGAUCUCAUCCAGCCAGAAUCAGAGCUUGUUCGGCCUGGACAGUCUUUGA